GAAAUGCGAUAAGUAAUGUGAAUUGCAGAAUUCAGUGAAUCAUCGAAUCUUUGAACGCACCUUGCGCUCCUUGGUAUUCCUUGGAGCAUGCCUGUUUGAGUAUCAUGAAAUCUUCAAAGUAAAUCUUUUGUUAACUCAAUUGGUUUCUACUUUGGUAUUGGAGGUCUUUGCAGCUUCACACCUGCUCCUCUUUGUUCAUUAGCUGGAUCUCAGUGUUAUGCUUGGUUCCACUCGGCGUGAUAAGUUAUCUAUCGCUUAGGACACAGUAAAAGGUGGCCAAGGUAAAUGCAGAUGAACCGCUUCUAAUAGUCCAUUGACUUGGACAAUACUUUUAUGAUCUGAUCUCAAAUCAGGUAGGACUACCCGCUGAACUUAAGC
rnacentral:misc_RNA from 1 species